rnacentral:lncRNA from 1 species
CUGCAUUCAAGAUUUUUUUAUUGGGAAAAGGGUUUGGAAAAGAAAACAGAAAAGAAAAAAAAGAAACCCCAGCCGAACCCCCCCCUCUCACCCCUCGGCCCAGCACCCCUCCCUUUCUCUCCGCCCGCAAAGUCCACGGCGCGGCCAGUGUCUUCCCCUCGCCCAGCCCAACUCGCAGGCCUGCAAGCCAGCCCAGCGCC